rnacentral:lncRNA from 1 species
ACACGUCCAUCCCUUGGGAUGCGAGUCCCAAAGAGUUUCACCCCCAAGAUGUUGGAUGUCCCAUAAUUUGCUGGUUGCUAGUAUUUUGUAGUAGUAUAAAGUAAAAAAAAACUCUAGAGAAGAGAAGAAGAAGAAGAUCAAAGAGAAAGAUCGAGCGUUGAUCGCGAUCCAAGCUUCGUUCAGAUUCAGCAGGCUAAAUUUUAAAAGAACCAAAAUUCAGAUUAUAGAGGACUGUUCCAGACUGAUCUCGAAUAGAUACUCAUAG